GACGAACGCUGGCGGCGUGCUUAACACAUGCAAGUCGAACGGAAAGGCCCUGCUUUUGUGGGGUGCUCGAGUGGCGAACGGGUGAGUAACACGUGAGUAACCUGCCCUUGGCUUUGGGAUAACUUCAGGAAACUGGGGCUAAUACCGGAUAGGAGCUCCUGCUGCAUGGUGGGGGUUGGAAAGUUUCGGCGGUUGGGGAUGGACUCGCGGCUUAUCAGCUUGUUGGUGGGGUAGUGGCUUACCAAGGCUUUGACGGGUAGCCGGCCUGAGAGGGUGACCGGCCACAUUGGGACUGAGAUGCGGCCCAGACUCCUACGGGAGGCAGCAGUGGGGAAUAUUGCACAAUGGGCGGAAGCCUGAUGCAGCAACGCCGCGUGCGGGAUGACGGCCUUCGGGUUGUAAACCGCUUUCGCCUGUGACGAAGCGUGAGUGACGGUAAUGGGUAAAGAAGCACCGGCUAACUACGUG
rnacentral:rRNA from 1 species